CAGCAGCCGCGGUAAUACGAAGGGUGCAAGCGUUAAUCGGAAUUACUGGGCGUAAAGCGUGCGUAGGCGGUUUGUUAAGUCUGCUGUGAAAUCCCCGGGCUCAACCUGGGAAUGGCAGUGGAUACUGGCAAGCUAGAGUGUGUCAGAGGGUGGUGGAAUUCCCGGUGUAGCGGUGAAAUGCGUAGAGAUCGGGAGGAACAUCAGUGGCGAAGGCGGCCAUCUGGGACAACACUGACGCUGAGGCACGAAAGCGUGGGGAGCAAACAGGAUUAGAUACCCCCGUAGUCCCUGUCUCUUAUAC
rnacentral:rRNA from 1 species